rnacentral:ncRNA from 1 species
AACGACAAAGGCAAACCCUGAGUGAUUAGGGGACGCAAAGUAAUGGGGUCUUUAAUCCUCCUAAAUCCCCCCUUUAUAAAAGGGGGACUAAGGGGGAUUUCAGGAAAAUAGAAAGACAGCCUUACUGCCGAAG